GGAUCCUCGAGAUUAAAAAGCCAUACAAUAUCUUGUAAGCAGAGUGCAGAUCGUAAUAGACUGAGUCAUAGACACGCCUUGUUGUCCGCAAUCGGUCAUCGGAAGGCCUUACCAUUUUAAUUAUGAUAAAUCAGACUCAUAGCAUCGUUUAUGCCCCCCUUCCCGAUGCUACGUGCCUGAUGAUGUUUCAGCAUUGUUUUUGGGUUUUUUUAACAAAUGAACUGAUAAAUGUACACAUCUACGCAUAUCGGC
rnacentral:misc_RNA from 1 species